UGGGGGAUAUUGCACAAUGGGGGAAACCCUGAUGCAGCGACGCCGCGCGAGUGAAGAAGUAUUUCGGUAUGUAAAGCUCUAUCAGCAGGGAAGAAAUACCGACCGAGAGGUCAGCAGACNGUACCUGAGUAAGAAGCCCCGGCGAACUCCGUGCCACCAGCCGCGGUAAUACGUAGGGGGCAAGCGUUAUCCGGAUUUACUGGGUGUAAAGGGAGCGCAGACGGAUGGAUAAGUCUGAAGUGAAAGCCCGCGGCUCAACUGCGGGACUGCUUUGGAAACUGUGCAUCUUGAGUACGGGAGGGGCAGGCGGAAUUCCUGGUGUAGCGGUGAAAUGCGUAGAUAUCAGGAGGAACACCGGCGGCGAAGGCGGCCUGCUGGACCGAAACUGACGUUGAGGCUCGAAAGCGUGGGGAGCAAACAGG
rnacentral:rRNA from 1 species